rnacentral:rRNA from 1 species
AGAGUUUGAUCCUGGCUCAGAACAAACGCUGGCGGCGUGCCUAACACAUGCAAGUCGUACGAGAAAGGGUCUUUCGGGAUCUGAGUAAAGUGGCGCACGGGUGAGUAACGCGUGGAUAAUCUGCCCUUCAGUUGGGAAUAACUCAUCGAAAGGUGGGCUAAUACCGAAUAACGCUGUGAGACUUUGGUCGAUCAGCCAAAGAGAGCCUCUGCUUGCAUGCCCUCGCUGAAGGAUGAGUCCGCGUACCAUUAGCUAGUUGGUGAGGUAACGGCCCACCAAGGCAACGAUCAGUAGCCGGCCUGAGAGGGUGAUCGGCCACACUGGAACUGAGACACGGUCCAGACUCCUACGGGAGGCAGCAGUGGGGAAUUUUGCGCAAUGGACGAAAGUCUGACGCAGCAACGCCGCGUGGGUGAUGAAGGUCUUCGGAUUGUAAAACCCUGUCGUCAGGGACGAAGGUUGGGAUCCUAAUACGAUUUCAGCUUGACGGUACCUGGAGAGGAAGCCCCGGCUAACUCUGUGCCAGCAGCCGCGGUAAUACAGAGGGGGCAAGCGUUAUUCGGAAUUAUUGGGCGUAAAGGGCGCGUAGGCGGUUUUGUAAGUAGGAUGUGUAAUCCCCGAGCUCAACUUGGGAACUGCAUCCUAGACUGCAAGGCUAGAGUACUGGAGAGGGUGGUAGAAUUCCACGUGUAGCGGUGAAAUGCGUAGAGAUGUGGAGGAAUACCAGUGGCGAAGGCGGCCACCUGGACAGUAACUGACGCUGAGGCGCGAAAGUGUGGGGAGCAAACAGGAUUAGAUACCCUGGUAGUCC